rnacentral:lncRNA from 13 species
AUGAGCGCUGCUGAGAUUGAUUUGCCUAAAAUAGGAAUCUCAUUUGCAUUUUUCUGAUUUUCUUCUACUUCAUUUAGCCAUAUUAAAAGACAGCUGCAGCUCUCACCAAGGACAAACAUUUGAAAGAUAUGGAUAUUGCCUACAUGUAUUUAUGGUGCUUGGGAUCUUCCCCACCCACCUGUGCGUGCUAUAAUCUCUGACAGGAGAGGAGGGCAGUUUCGGGAACCUCAAGAGUAGUCUUUGUCUGGAUGUCCUAGAAUUCAUUUAAUCAGCGUGUUGGUGGACGUUUUUCAACCUUUUGCUGUUGCGAACAAUGCUGAAUUGAAUAACUUGGGGUGAGCAAGUGACUCAAGCAUGGCUGACCAGUGUUCUGGAUUCACCCAGCCCCAGCCAUUGGUUCAGGGGCGCGACUCGUGACCUAGAUUGGCCCAAAGUGAAGCCUAGGAUGUGUGUGUGCGUUUUGGGGAAGAGACUUGUUUUCCUCACCAGUGGAUGAGAGCUUGACGGUCGGUAUACACAGCAUAUAUAUAACACAACUGGAGAUUAGGCAGCUGUCUUUCU